CCUACGGGGGGCAGCAGUGGGGAAUAUUGGGCAAUGGGCGAAAGCCUGACCCAGCAACGCCGCGUGAAGGAAGAAGGUUUUCGGAUUGUAAACUUCUGUCCUCAGGGAAGAAGGAAGUGACGGUACCUGAGGAGGAAGCCCCGGCUAACUACGUGCCAGCAGCCGCGGUAAUACGUAGGGGGCGAGCGUUGUCCGGAAUGACUGGGCGUAAAGGGCGCGUAGACGGCUUUUUAAGUCUGGAGUGAAAGUCCUGCUUUCAAGGUGGGAAUUGCUUUGGAGACUGGAAGGCUUGAGUGCGGA
rnacentral:rRNA from 1 species